GGCCGCGCCGCCCAGCAGCACCUGGCAGAGCAGCAGCGCCAGGAGGGAGCGGGUCGCGGCAACCAUGAUCAACCUGCGCGGAGGAGGAGGCGAUGGGAACCAAGCACUAGCACCUCCGCCGUGGCCCACGGAGUCAUCCUGCGGAGAAGGCUUUCAGCGGAUCUGUGACCGCCGGAGUUAUACCUGUGUGCAGCAGCAGGGGUUGUGUCUGCAGGAGGGUUUUCUGCUCUCGGGGUGUUUUUCCCGCAUCACUUGGUGUUACUCCAAACUUCGCUGCUGCUCCUCUACAGCUGCCGAGCAGAAAAUAGAAGUUCCCUGAAGUACA